rnacentral:rRNA from 1 species
UGCGUAGGCGGAUUGAUAAGUCAGUGGUGAAAACCUACAGCUUAACUGUAGUACUGCCAUUGAUACUGUUAGUCUUGAGUACGGUCAAGGUAGGCGGAAUGUGUAAUGUAGCGGUGAAAUGCUUAGAUAUUACACAGAACACCGAUUGCGAAGGCAGCUUACUGGACCAUUACUGACGCUGAGGCACGAAAGCGUGGGGAGCGAACAGGAUUAGAUACCCUGGUAGUCC